rnacentral:rRNA from 1 species
GACGAACGCUGGCGGCGUGCUUAACACAUGCAAGUCGAACGGAAAGGCCCUGCUUUUGUGGGUUGCUCGAGUGGCGAACGGGUGAGUAACACGUGAGUAACCUGCCCUUGACUUUGGGAUAACUUCAGGAAACUGGGGCUAAUACCGGAUAGGAGCUCCUGCUACAUGGUGGGGGUUGGAAAGUUUCGGCGGUUGGGGAUGGACUCGCGGCUUAUCAGCUUGUUGGUGGGGUAGUGGCUUACCAAGGCUUUGACGGGUAGCCGGCCUGAGAGGGUGACCGGCCACAUUGGGACUGAGAUACGGCCCAGACUCCUACGGGAGGCAGCAGUGGGGAAUAUUGCACAAUGGGCGGAAGCCUGAUGCAGCAACGCCGCGUGCGGGAUGACGGCAUUCGGGUUGUAACCCGCUUUCGCCUGUGACGAAGCGUGAGUGACGGUAAUGGGUAAAGAAGCACCGGCUAACUACGUG